UCGAGUUGGAACUGGACGCCGCUGACUCCAAAUUUCUGUAAAACUACUUGGGCAAACAUCUUGUUUAGGCCAUGUGAGACUUGGAGGACGAGCAGGAUUUUGUAAAAACAAAGCGAGCUGGAUCAGAGAAGGCCGGUUACAGGUUUAAUGGAUCUACCCGAUGAUUACCUUGGUUUCAGGUGUAGCAAUUAAUGAGGCCCCAGCACCCCGAAGACCCCCCAAGUUUUAAAAGUUUGCCCUGCUGCCUGCUGUUCUCCACGGAGAAGCUGCCAGUGGGCCUCAGAACUCUUCCUGGGUUAGUUUGCCCCAGCACGUGCAUAGCCUCAAAUGGCUCCUUGGGCAGCCUCUGGACUCUGGCUCUCGGAUCUUAACUGGCUGAUGGCACCCCAGUUCCCAAGAGUGAGAGUCUGAUUGGCUAACCUCAUUCCUGGGCUUCUGGCUGCAUGACUGCUCAUCUCAGCUGAGGUAGAUUUGAUUAGUCAACACAUCCUGCUACAGUCACCAUCGACGAAGCUGUCUAACUACAAAGAAUGAGGGCUUUCUGCCCAGUCUGACACCCACCUGGCACCAGGAUUCUUCAGAAGCUUUCUCAAUGCAUCGCUCCCGGGAGUCCCUAGCUGGCCAUUGGAGUUGGCGUCACGUGAACUGAUUUGCCACCUUUGGGCUAACUCUAUGAUGCUUAAAUUCUCUUUCAGGUCUAACAUUUUCUAAUUCUCAUUUUUAAAAAGAUCAGUUGCUCCACUGAUGUUCCUGCUCUGUCAUCAAUGACAUUGUUAAGCAAAUUAAGCCCUGAAGGUAUGUGUCCAGAGAUUCCGUCCCCCAAAUCAGAAUGGGUAAUUUAAGGCCAAACAAACAACUG